rnacentral:rRNA from 1 species
UACGUAGGGUGCGAGCGUUGUCCGGAAUUAUUGGGCGUAAAGAGCUCGUAGGCGGCUUGUCGCGUCGGAUGUGAAAGCCCGGGGCUUAACUCCGGGUCUGCAUUCGAUACGGGCAGGCUAGAGUUCGGUAGGGGAGAUCGGAAUUCCUGGUGUAGCGGUGAAAUGCGCAGAUAUCAGGAGGAACACCGGUGGCGAAGGCGGAUCUCUGGGCCGUAACUGACGCUGAGGCGCGAAAGCGUGGGGAGCAAACAGG